UGCCAGCCGCCGCGGUAAUACGGAGGGUGCAAGCGUUGUUCGGAAUUAUUGGGCGUAAAGCGCGUGUAGGCGGUUCGUUAAGUCUGAUGUGAAAGCCCGGGGCUCAACCCCGGAAGUGCAUUGGAAACUGGCGAACUUGAGUACGGGAGAGGAAAGCAGAAUUCCCGGUGUAGCGGUGGAAUGCGUAGAUAUCGGGAGGAAUACCGACAGCGAAGGCAGCUUUCUGGACAACACCUGACUCUGAGGAACGAAAGCCUGGGGAGCAAACAGGAUUAGAUA
rnacentral:rRNA from 1 species